rnacentral:rRNA from 1 species
GAUGAACGCUAGCGGCAGGCCUAAUACAUGCAAGUCGAGGGGUAGAAGAGGCUUGCUUCUUUGAGACCGGCGCACGGGUGCGUAACGCGUAUGCAACCUACCUUCAUCUGGGGGAUAGCCCGGAGAAAUCCGGAUUAAUACCGCAUAAAAUCACAGGAUGGCAUUAUCCAAUGAUCAAACAUUUAUGGGAUGGAGAUGGGCAUGCGUGUCAUUAGCUAGUUGGCGGGGUAACGGCCCACCAAGGCGACGAUGACUAGGGGAUCUGAGAGGAUGGCCCCCCACACUGGUACAGAGACACGGACCAGACGCCGACGGGAGGCAGCAGUAAGGAAUAUUGGUCAAUGAAGCCAACUCUGAACAAGCCAUGUCGCGUGCAAGAAGACUGCCCUAUGAAUUGUAAACUGCUUUUAUUCGGGAAUAAACCUUAUUACGUGUAAUAAGCUGAAUGUACCGAAGGAAUAAGGAUCGGCUAACUCCGUGCCAGCCGCCGCCGUAA